rnacentral:rRNA from 1 species
CCUACGGGAGGCAGCAGUGAGGAAUAUUGCGCAAUGGACGAAAGUCUGACGCAGCGACGCCGCGUGGGUGAUGAAGGUUUUCGGAUCGUAAAGCCCUUUUCUAGGUGACGAGACAAGGACGGUAGCCUAGGAAUGAGUGUCGGCUAACUACGUGCCAGCAGCCGCGGUGG